UACGAAGGGGGCUAGCGUUGUUCGGAAUUACUGGGCGUAAAGCGCGCGCAGGCGGCUAUCCAAGUCAGUGGUGAAAGCCCGGAGCUCAACUCCGGAACUGCCAUUGAAACUGUUUAGCUUGAGUAUGAGAGAGGUGAGUGGAAUUCCCGAGUGUAGAGGUGAAAUUCGUAGAUAUUGGGAAGAACACCGGUGGCGAAGGCGGCUCACUGGCUCAUUACUGACGCUCAGGCGCGACAGCGUGGGGAUCAAACAGG
rnacentral:rRNA from 1 species